GACGAACCGUGCGAACGUUGUUCGGAUUCAUUGGGCGUAAAGGGUGCGUAGGCGGCGCGGUAAGUCGGGUGUGAAAUCUUGGAGCUUAACUCCGAAACUGCAUUCGAUACUGCCGUGCUUGAGGACUGGAGAGGAGACUGGAAUUUACGGUGUAGCGGUGAAAUGCGUAGAUAUCGUAAGGAAGACCAGUGGCGAAGGCGGCUCACUGGCCCGGUACUGACGCUGAGGUGCGAAAGCGUGGGGAGCAAACAGG
rnacentral:rRNA from 1 species